UGAGGCACUUUCUUUAAAUUUGGCACAAAUGUCCACUGGGACUUUAAGAUUACCUGAUUAGAAUUUGGUUGUCAAAGGUCACGGUCACUGUGAUCUUACAAAAUAUGUUUGUUUUUUUUUUGUUUUUUUUUAAAUCAUUGGUGAAUGAGGAUGAAAUUGAUCAAAUAAUCCCAAACAAACAUGGGUUCAGUGUUGGAAGCGAUGUAGUUCUUUAUGACUGCUGCAUGGAAAAAAGACAAGAAUAUGCAAUCAAAGUUAGAAAAAUGUAUAUUUUGCAUGCAUGCACUCAACUGCUCCAAACUCUUGCUUCAGUGGGACAACAGCUGGUGCUAAACCACAUCAGCACGUCACUCCAGAAACCUCAACAGCAUAUCAAGGAGACCAGCUUGAGAUUAGGACAGCACAGCAGUCAGAGGGCCAAUCUGUUUUAACCACACUGUGAUAGGAUCAAAUACAUAGCACACUUGAGCAGUUAAACACGAGGCACCUUUCAGUUGGCCACCCCUCUAAAUGUUGUUGCAUUGUCAAAGGAUAUUUGUUUAGUAUUUUUGCUGACUCCCUCUUCAGCUGCAAUUGGUCAUAAAUAUUUAAUUCUUACAUUUAGUUCUUGCACAUUUUCAUCUCUCCUUUCCUUAGCAGCUAGCAAAUAUCCGCCAGGGUGUAACUCAUUGCUUAGUCUGCCUGUCAACACCCUUGUAACUGUGAUGCAUGGCUGCUCACUAUAAAACCUCGUUGUUACAUAUUCUAACAUGUGUUUUGACUAAUCCUCCAAAACAGCAUGCAAGUGACACAGAUGCUGACUUGUAUGUGUUAAGGUAAGCCUACUGAAGGAAGAUAACAACAUAAGAUAAUAACAGUAAUAAAAAAUACCAAACUUAGGUGUCUGAAAUAAUUGGGCACAGCUCAACAUUGAUUUUGAUACUAUAUGUUAUGGUGGUGUAAUUAUUCAGUGCAUCGCUUUUAAAAUGUGCCUUACUGUUCCAAUUAGAUCAAGCCUAAUUAAUAUAAAAAACACACAUGCAUUCUCACAUAAGAAUUUAUAUAAAAAUGGUGUAUUUCAGAGUGUUUCAUCAGCAGCAUACUUCCAAAAACGACAACAGUGCUUGGCAAUGUAACAAACCAAAUGUCGUAACAAAAACACAAGCUGUCACCUCAGCUAAACAACCGCAGCACUGUGUAUUGCAGCAGAUUUUAAACAAUACACAUAGCAAAUGAUACUAUUCACUAUGAAGAACAACAUGAUACAAUAUACAGAAGGGUUGUGCCCAUAAUUCAACACACUAAAUGUAAAUUCUGCUGGGAAAUAGCUGCAGGACAUUUCAAUUACAUGACCAGCAGGUAUAAAGAAGAGGGAGUGAGGUAUAGAUAACGCAAUCUUGUGAAGAGAAAGGCACUUCAUUAACCUGAAUGGUGUGGUUGGCCUGUGUGUACGCGUGUGUGUGAGAGAGACUUUCCCUUGGUAAUCACAUAGUCUCCAUUGUGUGUGUGUGGGUACAAGUGCACAUGGGCCACCCAGUUACACAAGGUCUUCAUUUGCAUGGCAACAUUAAACAUUUCAUAAAACAUGCAAAUAGUAUUCCAAAAUUUUAAAUUUGACUGGUAAUAUAGAUAAAUAUUUAUUUGUGUAAAUAUAUCACAUAUGCUAAAUAAUUAAUCCAGAGAGAUCAUCAUAUAUAAUUCAUCAGCCUGAAACUUACCAAGUGCCUUUGGCUUUGCCAUAAUUGGGAACAUUUCCUGCAUCAGACAUCUCACAUUAUUAGUGUCAGAUUGCUUGUGAGCAUAUGCACACACUCUGGG
ensembl:lncRNA